rnacentral:rRNA from 1 species
AUUGAACGCUGGCGGCAGGCCUAACACAUGCAAGUCGAGCGGAUGAGGGGAGCUUGCUUCCUGAUUCAGCGGCGGACGGGUGAGUAAUGCCUAGGAAUCUGCCCGAUAGUGGGGGACAACGUUUCGAAAGGAACGCUAAUACCGCAUACGUCCUACGGGAGAAAGUGGGGGAUCUUCGGACCUCACGCUAUCGGAUGAGCCUAGGUCGGAUUAGCUAGUUGGUGAGGUAAUGGCUCACCAAGGCGACGAUCCGUAACUGGUCUGAGAGGAUGAUCAGUCACACUGGAACUGAGACACGGUCCAGACUCCUACGGGAGGCAGCAGUGGGGAAUAUUGGACAAUGGGCGAAAGCCUGAUCCAGCCAUGCCGCGUGUGUGAAGAAGGUCUUCGGAUUGUAAAGCACUUUAAGUUGGGAGGAAGGGCUGUAGGCUAAUAUCCUGCAGUUUUGACGUUACCGACAGAAUAAGCACCGGCUAACUUCGUGCCAGCAGCCGCAGUAAGAC